UCACCAGAAAAUGAAGCGCUACUGUGCAAGACCGCGUAUUCACCGUUUGGCAUAGGACCACGAAACUGCGCUGGCAUGCGGUUGGCACUGCUGAACCUGAAAUACACUUUCGCAAGACUGUUGGUGAAGUAUCGCCUGGAACUGGGAGAGUCUCAGAUGGGUUCCAUGGAAAUCGGUGCUUACAGUGUCGUCUCGAACUCCUGGUAGGGGACCAUGGAUAAAAUUUCAUCGAAUUUGAAGGAAGCAAAAGCGUGUUCCGCGUUAGUGAAUGAACUGACCUGGAAAAACAGAUGCCACAUGGAGGACGACACGCCAGACUUUGAGACGAUGGCGAAAUCGUGAUGUGACUCCGCGAGACGUGUGUGCGACGCUGUAUAAAUCGUUGACGUAUCACAGGACAUGUUCUUGCACUUAUUUAUGCACAUUAAAUAUCAGCGCACCACG